UACGUUCCCGGGCCUUGUACACACCGCCCGUCACACCAUGGAAGCCGGUAACACCCGAAGCCGGUGGCCUAACCCGCAAGGGAGGGAGCCGUCGAAGGUGGGAUUGGUGACUGGGGUA
rnacentral:rRNA from 1 species